UACGAAGGGGGGCUAGCGUUGCUCGGAAUCACUGGGCGUAAAGCGCACGUAGGCGGCUUUCUAAGUCAGGGGUGAAAUCCUGGAGCUCAACUCCAGAACUGCCUUUGAUACUGGAGAGCUUGAGUUCGGAAGAGGUGAGUGGAACUCCGAGUGUAGAGGUGAAAUUCGUAGAUAUUCGGAAGAACACCAGUGGCGAAGGCGGCUCACUGGUCCGGUACUGACGCUGAUGUGCGAAAGCGUGGGGAGCAAACAGG
rnacentral:rRNA from 1 species